rnacentral:rRNA from 1 species
GUUCGGUCUGGCUCAGAUUGAACGCUGGCGGGAUGCUUUACAUGCAAGUCGAACGGCAGCACGGACUUCGGUCUGGUGGCGAGUGGCGAACGGGUGAGUAAUGUAUCGGAACGUGCCUAGUAGCGGGGGAUAACUACGCGAAAGCGUAGCUAAUACCGCAUACGCCCUUCGGGGGAAAGCGGGGGACCUUCGGGCCUCGCACUAUUAGAGCGGCCGAUAUCGGAUUAGCUAGUUGGUGGGGUAACGGCUCACCAAGGCGACGAUCCGUAGCUGGUUUUGAGAGGACGACCAGCCACACUGGGACUGAGACACGGCCCAGACUCCUACGGGAGGGCAGCAGUGGGGAAUUUUUGGACAAUGGGGAAACCUGAUCCAGCCAUCCCGCGUGUGCGAUGAAGGCCUUCGGGUUGUAAAGCACUUUUGGCAGGAAAGAAACGGCACGGGAUAAUACCCGUGCAGCUGACGUACCUGCAGAAUGAAAGCACCGGCUAACUACGUGCCGCAGCCGCGGUAAAUACGUAAGCAUGCAAGCGUUAAAAAUCAGAAUUAUGGGCGGCAGCGUGCGCGGGCGGUUGGAAAGAAAGAUAGAAUUGAGCCAAAGUGCCCCUGAAGCGGUGGAAUUCCAUGAUGUAGCGGUGAAUGCAUGCCGAUACGCAGAAGAAUACCGAUGGCAGGCGAAGCCUGGAUGCACGUCGCUUCAUGCAUAACGAGCGGAGAGCAAAAGCAAGUUCGUGCCUGGGUAGUCCCACCGCUAAACAGUGGUAACUUAGCUGGUGAGGCACUUCGACUGGCUAAGCGCAACUAACGCGUAAGAUCGACCGCCUGGAGUACGGCAGCAGAUUAAACCUCAAAAAAUGAAUGACGGAGAUUGCUGGCGAUGGUGUGGGAUAGUCGAUGCAGCGAAAACACAUAUACCGGCAUGUCUAGAUCUGAAGAGUUUAGGAGUGCUCAGGAACCCGGGACCCGGUGCUGCAUGGCGCGUCAGCUUCGUGGUACGUGAGAUGUGGAUACGUCCGCAAUGGCCGCAACCAGCAUUAGUACCACUGAAGAAUGCACUAAAUGGAGACCGCCGGCGGACAAACCGGAGGGAGGUGGGGAUGACGUCAAGUCCUCAUGGCCCUUAUGGGUAGGGCUUCACACGUCAUACAAUGGUCGGGACAGAGGGUCGCCAACCCGCGAGGGGAGCCAAUCCCAGAAACCCGAUCGUAGUCCGGAUCGCAGUCUGCAACUCGACUGCGUGAAGUCGGGAGGAGUCGCUGUGUCGCGGAUCAGCAUGUCGCGGUGAAUACGUUCCAGGUCUUGUACACACCGCCCGUCACACCAUGGGAGUGGGUUUUACCAGAAGUAGUUAGCCUAACCGUAAGGAGGGCGAUUACCACGGUAGGAUUCAUGACUGGGGUGAAGUCGUAACAAGGUAGCU